rnacentral:rRNA from 1 species
CGGACGGGUGAGUAACACGUAGGCAACCUGCCUUGUAGCCUGGGAUAACUUCCGGAAACGGAUGCUAAUACCGGAUACAUCAUCUUCUGGCAUCGGAGGAUGAGGAAAGACGGCGCAAGCUGUCACUAUGAGAUGGGCCUGCGGCGCAUUAGCUAGUUGGUGGGGUAAUGGCUCACCAAGGCGACGAUGCGUAGCCGACCUGAGAGGGUGAACGGCCACACUGGGACUGAGACACGGCCCAG